CGUCCACACUGCAGGAGGACAACGGAAGCAAAUGCACCUGUCAGCUUCCUUUACUGUUCGCUAAAGGAGGAGUACUGGAUGCCCAUGGGAGUUGCCCUCAGUAUUCGAUUUAGGGGUCCAUACUAGACCCGCUAAAUUGAACGCCAGAAGAUCGACCACCAGAGCGUUGAUCUUCUGGUAAGUAUAGACAUGCCCUUACAGGUUUCAUUCGUAAUAUCUGCCUGAUCAUCCUGGAGCCAACCAAUGUAGGUCUGCGCAGCCAUGGGUUAGCCCAUGUCAGGCCUUUGCUCAAGAACCAGUCAUUGUCACAGCCAGCACCUGAAGCCUUCUCAAAGGCCCAGAUCACCCAUUAACAAAUCUGUAGCCACAGGUCUUCUGUACUAGUCUGCAUGCUUGAAGAUAGUUCUGCCCUGCCAGAAGGUGGAGGCAGUCCACUGAGACCUUUUGGUGAUGCCAGUCCCUGAAUGGAAGGUCUUACUGACUCCCACAGCUAUCAGCAAUGCAUGUGUUGUUUGAGCAAAAUGUAAUCCGUCAAAACUCUUGACUCGAAAUCUCAAAAACAAAUUUAAUAACAUACAGCACUAGUACUGGAGAUUAGAAAUCUGCAUAGGCAUAGAAUUCUUUUAAAAAAAUAACAGAAAGAAAUCACUGAAGAGAGGGAAAUUUCCCUGCAAAGCUAGAUGCUUCUGGACUCCCAAAACACUGCAAUGCCAUAUCUUAGAAAGAGAGAACACAUUUUUCAUUAAGAAAGUACAUGAACUGAUGCAUGAAUAUUAACCAGUGGACUUGAAGCUCUCUAUGGGUAUGUCUAC